GGGAGGAAGAAGACGACAUGGCGUGGUAUUGUUUCGGCUCAUGUCCUUCUUGACUGGAUGUGAUGUGAGCCGAACCAAUAUCACUCAUGUAUUCUUCAUUCUGA
rnacentral:pre_miRNA from 1 species